CUUGCGCUCUGUGUCUCUCUCAAAAAUAAACAUUAAAAAAAGAAGACUUUUAAAAAAUUAAGAAAUUUAAAUGAUGUUAUAUAGCUUUGUAUUUCUUAAUGUUGGUAUACCCCCAAAUUUAUAUUUCGAGGCCCCUGACCCCUGGUAUUUGGAGAUGGGACAUUAGAAUGUAAUUAAAGUGUGAGGAGGGCAUGAGGAUGGGGUUCUUUCUUAUAACAGAGACAGCAGAGAGCUGAUUUACAGGUUCUUGCACCCUUGCUCACACAUGUGCACGCCUUCUAUCUCCACCAGGUGAGAACACAGUGAAAAGGAUGCGUGUCUACAAACCAGGAAGAGGGCUCUAACCAGAAACGGAAUGGGUCACACCUUAAUCUUGGAUUUCCCAGCCUCCGGAACUGUGCGAAACAAAUUUCUAUUGUUUAAGAUCUCCAGUCUAAGAGAACUUAAGUCCUCAACCAAAGCAGUUGAUGGGAUGGCAGAAUCGUACGCAUGUCCAGGGUUAGUACAUCAUCUCCUCAGGCCACGGCAUCCAAUCAUCUUCGGUAAAGGGUCCAUCUCUUAUAUUAUUUAGUCAUUUCCCUUCAAUUCAUCUCACUCCACCUGAAAGCUUCCAUUAUAAUGUGUUUACAGCAUUAGAUUUGUAUAUGUCCUUGAAAAGUAAAUAGUGCUGCUUUGAAUACUGUCUUUAAGUCAUUUAAUUGUUGUUGACUUAUGAAUCUCAUUCCUGUUUACACACUUCUCCCUCAACACAUGAUGAGAGGCUCAGCAACCCUAAGGUCUGCAGUUGCCAAGCUGUGAGCCUGUGGUGGAGUUUCAGUCCAAGUCUGAAGGCAGGAGAAGACUUCUCAGCCUCCAUAAUUGAGUGAGCCAGUUCCUUAUAGGAAAUCUCCAUAUUUCUUUUUUCUUAAGUUUUAUUUAUUUAUUUUUGAGAGAGAAGGAGAAAGAGUGAGCAGGGGAGGGACAGAGAGAGGGACAGAGAAAGAAUCCCAAACA